rnacentral:rRNA from 1 species
UGCAAGUCGAACGGCAGCGGGGGCUUCGGCCCGCCGGCGAGUGGCGAACGGGUGAGUAAUGCAUCGGAACGUACCCAGUCGUGGGGGAUAACUACGCGAAAGCGUAGCUAAUACCGCAUACGCCCUGAGGGGGAAAGCGGGGGACCUUCGGGCCUCGCGCGAUUGGAGCGGCUGAUGUCGGAUUAGCUAGUUGGUGGGGUAAAGGCCUACCAAGGCGACGAUCAGUAGCGGGUCUGAGAGGAUGAUCCGUCACACUGGAACUGAGACACGGUCCAGACUCCUACGGGAGGCAGCAGUGGGGAAUUUUGGACAAUGGGGGCAACCCUGAUCCAGCCAUUCCGCGUGAGUGAAGAAGGCCUUCGGGUUGUAAAGCUCUUUCAGCCGGAACGAAACGGUACACUCUAAUAUAGUGUGCUAAUGACGGUACCGGCAGAAGAAGCACCGGCUAACUACGUGCCAGCAGCCGCGGUAAUACGUAGGGUGCGAGCGUUAAUCGGAAUUACUGGGCGUAAAGCGUGCGCAGGCGGAUUGUUAAGCAAGAUGUGAAAUCCCCGGGCUUAACCUGGGGAAUGGCAUUUUUGAACUGGCAGUCUAGAGUGUGUCAGAGGGGGGUGGAAUU